GUACUUGGUGUUACUGCGAAGGGGGGACGGAGAAGGCUAUGUUAGCCGGGCGACGGUUGUCCCGGUUUAAGCAUGUAGGCUGAUUAUCCAGGCAAAUCCGGAUAAUCAAGGCUGAGGUGUGAUGACGAGGCACUACGGUGCUGAAGUAACAAAUGCCCUGCUUCCAGGAAAAGCCUCUAAGCAUCAGGUAACAUCAAAUCGUACCCCAAACCGACACAGGUGGUCAGGUAGAGAAUACCAAGGCGCUUGAGAGAACUCGGGUGAAGGAACUAGGCAAAAU
rnacentral:rRNA from 1 species